rnacentral:rRNA from 1 species
UACGAAGGGGGCUAGCGUUGUUCGGAAUUACUGGGCGUAAAGCGCACGUAGGCGGAUAUUUAAGUCAGGGGUGAAAUCCCGGGGCUCAACCCCGGAACUGCCUUUGAUACUGGUAGUCUCGAGUCCGGAAGAGGUGAGUGGAAUUCGAGUGUAGAGGUGAAAUUCGUAGAUAUUCGCAAGAACACCAGUGGCGAAGGCGGUGCUCUGGGCCGGAACUGACGCUGAGGAGCGAAAGCGUGGGGAGCAAACAGG